rnacentral:misc_RNA from 1 species
AAUGCAAUCCAUUAAUGGGAAAUGGCAAGCUACCUCGGGUUUCAAGCAGUCCCUCUCUCAAGGUAAUUGGAUCUCAAAAAGGGUACAAGAGUUCUCCAUUGCAAGAUAGAUCCGAAUUGGCCAAUUCUUCACAGGAGGAGUCCUCCGUAUCUGAACAAACCCCAAAUGGGGAAGCUGCUUUGAAGUCGACCAGUGAGUUGAAUUCCAAGAAAAGAAAAGCAGUUUCCAAGGCAAAAGCAAAAGAAUCACAGCCAGGAUCAACCCCACCAGCCAAUUGUGCAGCUAAGGAUGCAGAAACUGAUGAUAAUUCAAACACAAAGCGAAGCAAGACAAAUGAAGGGAAUGGAAAUGAAAAAAGUGCUGUUAAAGCAGAGGAAGAACAGAAGGGAAGUGGUGGGGAUGAGAAACAAAACCAGAAUAACAACACAAAGCCUCCUGAGCCCCCUAAGGACUACAUUCAUGUCAGAGCAAGAAGGGGUCAAGCCACAGAUAGUCACAGCUUAGCUGAAAGAGUUCGAAGAGAGAAAAUCAGUGAAAGAAUGAAGCUUCUCCAAGAUCUUGUACCAGGUUGCAAUAAGGUCACAGGCAAAGCUCUUAUGCUUGAUGAAAUUAUAAACUAUGU